CCAUUGCGUACCAAUGAUGAUGCCAUGCACCUGGAGCUACUCCCUCGAACUUCACCCAACAUCCUGUCAGGUGCUCGUGCACUGUUAGUGUCUGUACAUGAUCCAUCAGAGUAAGCCACAAAGUAAGUACAAUAAUCAGCCAAUGAGGACUGCCCACCUUUAUUUGGUUGUGGAAAGUAACGAGCCCACUGAGGGAGGUCCCCACUAUAACUUAAAAUAGGGCAGUAACCCUCAGCCUCCCUGUUAUAUGUGCAGCCUGAUAAUUGGGUUGUGUUGCAAUGGUAUGCGCCCUUCCAGAGAUUGCAAGGGGAGGUAACAAAGUCAGUUCCUUGGUUGCGACCCCAUUCAAGAUGGUCCGCCAUGGUAUAGUUAGCCUGGUACCACCCGCUAUCCUCCAAUAAAGCCAGUGUCAUUUUUGAAACUACAGAUCUUGUAUCCACAGAUCCUGUCAUAAUCUCAUUCAUCAGAAGUCUUUUUUCCCAAUGUGACCCUGAUGUGCCACGUCCUCCCCCAUCUUCAAGUUCCAAACCCGUAAAAUUCUCAGAAAAUGCCCCAUAAUGAUGUCGCGAGUGCAUGACAACACGUGGAAGCACCACACGUGUUACCGUCCGCCCAAGCUUUUCAUCCAUGACUUGUUCAGUAACCUGACCACGCCUUCUUUUCCUCUCAUCUCGAAAAUGGGCAAAUGCAUGGGGAUCAAAAC
rnacentral:misc_RNA from 1 species